rnacentral:rRNA from 1 species
AGAGUUUGAUCCUGGCUCAGAGCGAACGCUGGCGGCAGGCUUAACACAUGCAAGUCGAACGGGCACCUUCGGGUGUCAGUGGCAGACGGGUGAGUAACACGUGGGAACGUGCCCUUCGGUUCGGAACAACUCAGGGAAACUUGAGCUAAUACCGGAUACGCCCUUCGGGGGAAAGAUUUAUCGCUGAAGGAUCGGCCCGCGUCUGAUUAGCUAGUUGGUGAGGUAAUGGCUCACCAAGGCGACGAUCAGUAGCUGGUCUGAGAGGAUGAUCAGCCACACUGGGACUGAGACACGGCCCAGACUCCUACGGGAGGCAGCAGUGGGGAAUAUUGGACAAUGGGCGCAAGCCUGAUCCAGCCAUGCCGCGUGAGUGAUGAAGGCCUUAGGGUUGUAAAGCUCUUUCGUCCGGGACGAUAAUGACGGUACCGGAAGAAGAAGCCCCGGCUAACUUCGUG